rnacentral:lncRNA from 1 species
AAGGAAAUGUACCUUGUGCAGCAGGUACAAAUUAACACUUUGGGAAGUGUAAAUUAAUGAAUGUGUUUAUGUGAAACAGAGGGGACACAGAAUUGUGAAUCGUCCCUAGAAUCAGUUGUACCCAACAGUUUUCCAUGAUAUCAUAGUGUCGAUUCAAAGAGUUAUAAACUUAGUAGUUUGGUCGGAUUGACUGUGAGUACAGAGAAAUUUGAUGAGUUAUAUGUUCAGCCGUACAGGCCACGAGAAGUGGAUUCGAUUGAACACAUGCGAAAUUUGUGAGUUAUAGGCUCGGCCGA